rnacentral:siRNA from 1 species
CAUUCGAGUGAGAGAUCUCUUCU